rnacentral:rRNA from 1 species
GACGAACGCUGGCGGCGUGCCUAAUACAUGCAAGUUGAGCGAUGAAGUCUGGUGCUUGCACCAAUUUGAAGAGCAGCGAACGGGUGCGUACCGCGUGGGGAAUCUGCCUUUGCGCGGGGGACAACAAUUGGAAACGAAUGCUAAUACCGCAUAACAACUUUAAACAUAAGUUUUAAGUUUGAAAGAUGCAAUUGCAUCACUCAAAGAUGUUCCCGCGUUGUAUUAGCUAGUUGGUGAGGUAAAGGCGCACCAAGGCGAGGAUACAUAGCCGACCUGAGAGGGGAAGCUGCCACAUUGGGACGGAGGCACGGCCCGAACCCCUACGGGAGGCAGCAGUACGGAAUCUUCGGGGAAGGACGAAAGUCGGAACAAUCAACGCCGCGUGAGAGAAUGAGGUAGUCAGGUCGUGAAACUCAUUAGGGAGAGAGGAUCGUAGGGGAGAGUUGAAAGCGCAGCUAGUGACGGUAACGGCACAGAAAGGGACGGCUAACUACGUG